UACGUAGGGGGCUAGCGUUGCUCGGAAUCACUGGGCGUAAAGGGUGCGUAGGCGGGUCUUUUAAGUCAGGGGUGAAAUCCUGGAGCUCAACUCCAGAACUGCCUUUGAUACUGAGAUCUUGAGUUCGGGAGAGGUGAGUGGAACUGCGAGUGUAGAGGUGAAAUUCGUAGAUAUUCGCAAGAACACCAGUGGCGAAGGCGGCUCACUGGCCCGAUACUGACGCUGAGGCACGAAAGCGUGGGGAGCAAACAGGG
rnacentral:rRNA from 1 species